AUGAUCAGUAGCUGGUCCGAGAGGAUGAUCAGCCACACUGUGACUGAGACACGGCCCAGACUCCUACGGGAGGCAGCAGUGGGGAAUUUUCCGCAAUGGGCGAAAGCCUGCGCAAAUGGUUAUCCAUUAAGCGGAGGAAAUAGUAAUAAAAAGAAAAAGGCUUAUGCUCUUUUAUCUUAGAAGUACGGACUAACACUAGUUACUUGCUCUGGCGAAACCAAAACGAUCGAACGAG
rnacentral:ncRNA from 1 species